rnacentral:rRNA from 1 species
UACGUAGGGGGCAAGCGUUGUCCGGAUUCAUUGGGCGUAAAGAGCGUGUAGGCGGCCAGGUAGGUCGGUUGUGAAAACUGGGAGGCUCAACCUUCAGAGGUCGAUCGAAACCAUCUGGCUAGAGUCCGGGAGAGGAGAGUGGAAUUCCUGGUGUAGCGGUGAAAUGCGCAGAUAUCAGGAAGAACACCCGUGGCGAAAGCGGCUCUCUGGAACGGUACUGACGCUGAGACGCGAAAGCGUGGGGAGCGAACAGG